rnacentral:piRNA from 1 species
UGGAGGGUUAUGGGAGCCUGUGAAUG